GAAGCCGGUGGCCUAACCCUUGUGGAGGGAGCCGUCGAAGGUGGGAUUGGCGAUUGGGACGAAGUCGUAACAAGGUAGCCGUACCGGAAGGUGCGGCUGGAUCACCUCCUUUCUAAGGAG
rnacentral:rRNA from 2 species